AAAAGCUAUGAUCUUUCACUUCCCGGUAACUCAUUCCCAAGAUUAAGAUCACCGAGGACUGAAUCAAAAUCGCAGUUAUAAGCGAAAAAUUUGGGAGUGAUUUGAGGGACAUUUGCUGUUUUCAAAAACCCAUCAAAUUCUAAUUUCAAAUCAAACCCAUCACACUAAUCUUUCCCCAGAGCAAAAUCACCAACAUGAUCGAAAUAAAAUUAAACAACUGAAAUUUGGAUUUCAUCAUCACCUACAACGUUUUAUAUCUUCGUAGAACAGGCGAGGAAUCCCGCAAUACUCCAUAGUCCAUAUGAAGUUAAAAUUACUAUUCCAGUGGAAUGCUACGAGCCCAUUGAUUUGACUUCAUUCUUAUAAAACUGUGUGAUAAUAGGAAAGAUAGUGAAGCUGAUGCUAUAAGACGAUGGGUGUUGUCUGGCUAGGUUCCUGCAUGUAUGGAUUUCAACCUUUUCUCUUUAGCUGAGUUCUUAAAAUGUGUUUUGAUGUUCAAGAAUAAGCGUGAAAAAAAUGCAUGCCAAAAGAAAAUAGUAAAUCUUAACAUGAAGAAUAUCAGUGAUCAACUCAACAGUAAGGCUGCAGACAAGUUAGUGAUGGCAGCGGACCGGACGGUAACUGUGGAUAUGGUCAAUAUUAUGGCGAAUAUAAUUGCUUGACUGUACACUAUGCUAUGCAGAAGAACAUACUUUUCUCUUACAAAGGGGGACGAGUCUUCCUUGACGGUUUCUUUACGAGGGCAGAAAAUUAUAGUUUCUUUGAUGAAUUUAGGGGUCAUAAAUGAUAAGGCUGUUUGUGGAAAUUUACACCGUACGACACUUACAGCGAAAUAAGCAAGUAUAUGUACUUUUAGUAGAACAGACACUCCAGAGUUUCAUUGAAAUAAAUGGAGUGUAAAUCAUGGCUUCUGUAGGUAAUUUUCCAAUUUCUUUCUUUGUACUACAAUUUGCUGUUAAUUAUCUUGCUUCUAUAUUGCAUCUA